AGUGAACGCUGGCGGUAGGCCUAACACAUGCAAGUCGAACGGCAGCACAGGAGAGCUUGCUCUCUGGGUGGCGAGUGGCGGACGGGUGAGGAAUACAUCGGAAUCUACUCUGUCGUGGGGGAUAACGUAGGGAAACUUACGCUAAUACCGCAUACGACCUACGGGUGAAAGCAGGGGACCUUCGGGCCUUGCGCGAUUGAAUGAGCCGAUGUCGGAUUAGCUAGUUGGCGGGGUAAAGGCCCACCAAGGCGACGAUCCGUAGCUGGUCUGAGAGGAUGAUCAGCCACACUGGAACUGAGACACGGGCCAGACUCCUACGGGAGGCAGCAGUGGGGAAUAUUGGACAAUGGGCGCAAGCCUGAUCCAGCCAUACCGCGUGGGUGAAGAAGGCCUUCGGGUUGUAAAGCCCUUUUGUUGGGAAAGAAAUCCAGCCGGCUAAUACCCGGUUGGGAUGACGGUACCCAAAGAAUAAGCACCGGCUAACUUCGUGCCAGCAGCCGCCGCCG
rnacentral:rRNA from 1 species